UAAUCAGAAUACAAUUUGCUUAACUAAUAACAGAAUGCAGAGUUUUGGAGAUCCUUACAACUACAAAUUAAUUCAAAUAUAAUCAGUUGGAUGAAAUAAAUUCAGUUUCAGUCGGUUAAGCAAGAGCAGAAAAAACUUUCUAAAAUAACUGCUACUAUUACUAUGGAAGUUAAUAUUCAGAAUACACUGAAAAACGUUUAUUUUUCAGUGCACAUUUCGGCUUUAUACAAAUUUUGAAUGCUUGGAUCACAGAUCAAGCAGCCACAAAAAAAACAAUAUUUUUAUGAAUUUAUUAUCAUUUUGAAUUUGUUUGACAUUGGCAUUACUGUUACAUUGUGAUACUUUGUGAUUAAAAAAAAAAAUAGGCUUAAAAUAAAAAAAUAAUUGCCUGUCCAGAGCUCUGCAGAGUCGAGGGACAAAAAAUUUGAAAUUGCCUGAUAGGAAAGAGGCAAGCAAAUUGUAGUUUUUGCAAUUCCGUCGCGAAACUACUUUUUUUCUGUCAUUCUCGAACGACGAAUAAGCCUUCUUUUCUCUACCAAAAAUAACUGAAAUGGAUGCUGAAAAAUUGAACUUUUCAGCACUUAUUUUGGAAAGUAAUUCUUUUCAACAUUAUUUUGAUUAAAAGGGGGGAUUGACUAAACACAUGGACAUUUGACAAUUCCAUUCAAGGUUUUUUUUUUUAUUGCAAAAAAUGUUGUAUGCAAUUCAUUGCAAAACUCGUUUUUUCACAGCAUUCGUCGUAUUUAUACAUCGUGCUGAAAAAACCUUUUUUGCAAUUCCGUCGUGAAACUACUUACUUUUCCUGUCAUUCUUGAACGACGAAAUAGCCUACUUUUCUGUACCAAAAAUAACAGAAUCGAAUAGCAACACUUUUCAAAAUAAAUGCUGAAAAGUUCUACUUUUCAGCACUGAAAUGGGUGCUGAAAAGUUGAACUUUUCAGCACUUGUUUCGAAAAGUAACACUUUUCAAAAAAAAAUUGAUUUAAACGAUUUAUUGACAAAAUACAUGAAAAUUCGACUUAAAAUUUCACUCAAUGGGUGUUUUUCGAAAUUGCAAAAAAUGUUGUAUGGAACUCGUUGCAAAACUUGAUUUUUUCAGCACUCGUCGUAUUUAUCCAACUCGGUGAACCUCGUUGGAUAAAUGUACGACUCGUGCUGAAAAAAUCCUCUUUUUGCAACUUGUUGCAUAAACUACUAUUUUGCAAUUCCGUCGUGAAUCUUUUAUAUGCUUUUCCUGCCAUUCUUAAACGACAAAACGGCCUACUUUUCGUUACCAAAAAUAUCAGAAUGGAAAAUGAAUACCUGCAAAUACCAAUAAGCGUUUUUCGGGAUUGCAAAAAAAAAAAAAAAAUGUUCUAAGCAACUCGUUGCAAAACUUGUUUUUUUUAGGAGUCGUCGUAUUUAUCCAACUCGGUAUAAAUACUCGUUGGAUAAAUGUACGACUCGUGCUGAAAAAAUCUUCUUUUUGCAACUUGCUGCACAAACUACUUUUUUUGCGUAAACUACUAUUAUGCAACAAGUUGUAAAAAGAAAAUUGAGAUUGGUUUACCGAGUUGGAUAAAUGCGACGAAUGCUAUAAAAAAAUUGCAACAAGAGUCUUACAACAUUUUCUGCAAUUCCGAAAAAAGUGUUAAGUGAAUUCACUGUUCAAAACUAAAAAUAUUAAAAAAAAAAAUGUUUCACAUCUAUACUAGUGCUGUUCAACUUUUCAGCACGGUUAUGGAAAGGUGUUAAUUUUCCAUUCUUUUAUUUUUGGAAGAGAAAAGUGAGGGUAAUAUUUUAGCUUUAAGUAUUUUUUUUUAGCUUUUCUCUUUUAUGGAAUAUCUGCAAAUAAAAAAAAUCAAAAAUUUUAACCUUGAAAUGUCUGAAAAAUUAGAAAAAAAAACUGAUGACUCAAAAUGACUGGAAAAAGUUCUACAAAGUUAUGCAAUUAUGAACCUAACAAUAAAAAAGAGACUGGUGAAAAGUUUAUUUCAGUUAUUUAGGAACGAAUAAAAAAAACCCCAAUCAAUCAAAUUUGUGUUUUCCAAGAAUUAGCUCCAACAAAUUGGAAUCUGAGCAAAAAAAAAAUCAAUGCCCAAUUAUUUCAUUCAGCCUAAAGGCGA